rnacentral:piRNA from 1 species
UACAUAAAGUGAAAGGGAUGUUUAUGUG